rnacentral:rRNA from 1 species
CCUACGGGAGGUGCAGUGGGGAAUAUUGGACAAUGGGCGAAAGCCUGAUCCAGCCAUGCCGCGUGUGUGAAGAAGGCCUUCGGGUUGUAAAGCACUUUCAGUGGGGAAGAAAGCCUUGGGGCUAAUACCCUCGAGGAAGGACAUCACCCACAGAAGAAGCACCGGCUAACUCCGUGCCAGCAGCCGCGGUAAUACGGAGGGUGCGAGCGUUAAUCGGAAUUACUGGGCGUAAAGCGCGCGUAGGCGGUCUGAUAAGCCGGUUGUGAAAGCCCCGGGCUCAACCUGGGAACGGCAUCCGGAACUGUCAGGCUAGAGUGCAGGAGAGGAAGGUAGAAUUCCCGGUGUAGCGGUGAAAUGCGUAGAGAUCGGGAGGAAUACCAGUGGCGAAGGCGGCCUUCUGGACUGACACUGACGCUGAGGUGCGAAAGCGUGGGUAGCAAACAGGAUUAGAUACCCUUGUAGUC